rnacentral:rRNA from 1 species
CCUACGGGUGGCAGCAGUGAGGAAUAUUGGUCAAUGGACGAGAGUCUGAACCAGCCAAGUAGCGUGAAGGAUGACUGCCCUAUGGGUUGUAAACUUCUUUUAUAUGGGAAUAAAAUGUUCCACGUGUGGGAUUUUGUAUGUACCAUAUGAAUAAGGAUCGGCUAACUCCGUGCCAGCAGCCGCGGUAAUACGGAGGAUCCGAGCGUUAUCCGGAUUUAUUGGGUUUAAAGGGAGCGUAGGUGGAUGGUUAAGUCAGUUGUGAAAGUUUGCGGCUCAACCGUAAAAUUGCGGUUGAAACUGGCAGUCUUGAGUACAGUAGAGGUGGGCGGAAUUCGUGGUGUAGCGGUGAAAUGCUUAGAUAUCACGAAGAACUCCGAUUGCGAAGGCAGUUCACUGGACUGCAACUGACACUGAGGCUCGAAAGUGUGGGUAUCAAACAGGAUUAGAUACCCCAGUAGUC